rnacentral:rRNA from 1 species
UACAGAGGUCUCAAGCGUUGUUCGGAUUCAUUGGGCGUAAAGGGUGUGUAGGUGGCGCGCUAAGUCGGGUGUGAAAUUUCGGAGCUUAACUCCGAAACUGCAUUCGAUACUGGCGUGCUUGAGGACUGGAGAGGAGACUGGAAAUUCAUGGUGUAGCAGUGAAAUGCGUAGAGAUCAAUGAGGAAGACCAGUGGCGAAGGCGGG